GUUUCCUCAUUUGCUGGAUUUUUGUGAUACUCUCAGGGAGGACUUUGGAUUGUCUUGACCCCUUUCCAUAAACUGGCUUUCGAAAGAAUAUAUUACAUACAGACAUUGUUGCAAUAACUGAAGUGAUAUGGACUUAUGAAAGUAAAACUAGAAGUCUACAAGAGCGGGGGAACUUCCAAAGAAGCUCUUGUUUCCUCUUAACAGAAACAGACUGUAGCUGGGCCCUCUUCUCAGAGCCUGCCUUGACCACAGGUGUGAAAACUGGAGAUAUGGCUGCUACUUGGGGACCAGAAGUGAACUGUCCACUAAUGGUGGCAGAGCAGGCAAAGCCAGUGUCCUUGAUGUCACCUUAGAGAAGGGAGCCAGCGGCAACCCUAGUUAUCUCCAGUUGGACUGCAACACCCCGUGAUCCUCCAUAGAGCAUCUACGUGUCCAAGAACAGGAAGUUGCUCACUCCUGCUGUCUGCCCCUCCACGGCCAUCACCACCGACCCUGUGUAAGAAACCAUCCACAUGGCGGCUAGCUUCUUCUGUUAUCUCCUGGUCUCACCGCACAGGAGUGCACAGGAGACAGCUUCCGAGUACAGACAGACACUGGGAGCGGCAUCCACCUAUCCCGGACUCCGAUCAAGUCAAUACACUGGUGAUCAGUACCUGCCUUUCAGACUCAAGCCAUGAAGCCCCAUUUUACCAGAGAUGUUUCAAAUGGCCCGGCAUCUCUGGCAGAAUAAAUGCUAUCUAUAAACCAAAAUCCAAUGUUUAAGCUCCAAAUAGGAUUUCAAAAUGAAAUUGUAUGUUAUAGCUUUAAAAAUCACAAUUCACUGAAAA